AGAGUUUGAUCCUGGCUCAGAACGAACGCUGGCGGCAUGCCUAACACAUGCAAGUCGAACGCUGUGCCGGUUUUGGCCGGCAGAGAGUGGCGCACGGGUGAGUAGCGCGUGGGAACCUGCCCUGUUGUGGGGGAUAACCGCGGGAAACUGCGGCUAAUACCGCAUACGCCCGAUGAGCAAUCAUCGGGGAAAGAUUGAUCGCCGCAGGAGGGGCCCGCGUCGGAUUAGGUUGUUGGUGGGGUAACGGCCUACCAAGCCUGCGAUCCGUAGCUGGUCUGAGAGGAUGAUCAGCCACACUGGGACUGAGACACGGCCCAGACUCCUACGGGAGGCAGCAGUGGGGAAUAUUGGACAAUGGGCGCAAGCCUGAUCCAGCAAUGCCGCGUGAGUGAUGAAGGCCUUCGGGUUGUAAAGCUCUUUCGCACGCGAGGAUGAUGACGCUAGCGUGAGAAGAAGCCCCGGCUAACUUCGUGCCAGCAGCCGCGGUAAUACGAAGGGGGCGAGCGUUGUUCGGAUUUACUGGGCGUAAAGGGCGCGUAGGCGGCGCGAGAAGUCGAGUGUGAAAGCCCCGGGCUCAACCUGGGAAUGGCGCUCGAGACUCUUGUGCUUGAGUUCGGGAGAGGAGCGUGGAAUUCCCAGUGUAGAGGUGAAAUUCGUAGAUAUUGGGAAGAACACCGGUGGCGAAGGCGGCGCUCUGGACCGAGACUGACGCUGAGGCGGGAAAGCGUGGGGAGCAAACAGGAUUAGAUACCCCCGUAGUCC
rnacentral:rRNA from 1 species